ACGAACAGGGUCGCGCUGCCAUAUCGUUUUCGAUUCCGAUUCGGAUCCCAACUCAUCAAAAUUCAAGUCGACCUUCGGCCAAAAGAACGUCCAACAGAUCAAACGGUAGCUCAAAGGGCGAUGGCGAAGUCAGAAGAGGAUUGCAUCAAGGAGGUACGGCGCGUGCUGGUGUCGAUGACCAAUCUGAUCGGCAAGCCUUACGUGGAAGCAAAGGAAGAAUUCAAGGCCAUUCAAAAGGACGGCCGAACAGCAAUCACGACCUGUAACAAGAACAUGAAGAGCCUCUACGAGGAGUCCAGCGACAAAAUAUGGAAGCUGAUCGACACCACCCAGAACCAGACCCUCAUAUCCGCUGAGACACUCCAACAAAGCGCCAAGGCCAUUGUGGACGAGGCCGUCAAGAAGUUCAGCAAGUGAGAACGUCAGCCUGCUCUAGCUGAUCUCGUUAGUGUCGAACCUGAAGAAGCGCGAUAAAUGAGCAAAAUUUUCAAUGGCGUGCACGCGCGUGAAUGCAUAAUGCAGGCUGGAGACAAAAAAAGUUGUUGGCGUAAUAAAAAGAUGCGAGCGCUUUCA